UCCAUGUACAAAAAGAUUUACAAUGAAGUUAGAGUAUCAAUAACAUUUCUAAAAUUCACAUUAUUAUUAAUGUCAUGACUAGUAACAUCGAUCCAAAAAUAUGUAUCCACCUAUCUAUUAGUUUAUUUAUACUACUCUCAAUACUAUCAAAAGCUCUUUUAUUAUUCUUUUUUCAAAUGACCCAAAAGAUAGUCAAAUGCAUGAUGUCAAGAAUGGUAGCUGCACCAAAAAAAAAGAAUCAUGUCAAGAAUGAUUCUUUGAUUGAUAUAUAUUUUAUUGAGUAUUAUACUUCUAUAUAUACAUGUUUUCGAUGACAGAAAAAGAAAUAGACAAUUAAUUACAAUUAAGUACAAAAAGUAUAAUUUUACCCUUUAUCUUUUAGCCUCAUUUGCUUCCUCUCUAAUAUCUUGUUUUACUUCUUUAACAAUUAUAUUUUUUAACUUGAUUUACUUCUUUUUUACUUUAACAUUCUGAUUUAUUUCAUUUUUAAUAGAUAAUAUCAACUUAAACAUGCUACUGCGGGGGUUUCCCAUUUUACACAUAGCAAAUCACAGAACUAAGAGCUCUGAGGCCAGUAAUUGGGGCUUGGGAGAGAGUUUGUCUUCCUCUAACAUAUUAUUCCAUAAAACAGACUAGGACAACAGUACCACAUUGGGUAUUUCCUUUCCCUACCUAUGUUAUAAAUAGGCAGUCAACCAAGCAGAUAAAUAAUCAAAACUGCAAAAAAGGGAAAAGCCACAGAACUGUUUUUAAGAAAUAUUGCGUUAAUAAGAUUAAUUGGUUUGCAAAUGGUUCUCUCUGGCAAAUGCCAGAAGAUAUACUUCACCCUUGUUGACUCACAAUCUACUCAAAUGUGAAAUCAGAGCUGGUAGGAUUGUAGAGUACUUCAAGGACUGCCAUGCCUGAAAUUUGAGGCUUUUAGUCCAUGC
rnacentral:lncRNA from 1 species